rnacentral:rRNA from 1 species
UACGGAGGGUGCAAGCGUUAUCCGGAUUCGCUGGGUUUAAAGGGUGCGUAGGUGGGCAAGUAAGUCAGUGGUGAAAUCUCCGGGCUUAACCCGGAAACUGCCAUUGAUACUAUUUGUCUUGAAUACUGUGGAGGUCAGCGGAAUAUGUCAUGUAGCGGUGAAAUGCUUAGAUAUGACAUAGAACACCAAUUGCGAAGGCAGCUGGCUACACAAAUAUUGACACUGAGGCACGAAAGCGUGGGGAUCAAACAGG